rnacentral:rRNA from 1 species
GAUGAACGCUGGCGGCGUGCCUAAUACAUGCAAGUCGAGCGAACGGACGAGAAGCUUGCUUCUCUGAUGUUAGCGGCGGACGGGUGAGUAACACGUGGAUAACCUACCUAUAAGACUGGGAUAACUUCGGGAAACCGUAGCUAAUACCGGAUAAUAUUUUGAACCGCAUGGUUCAAAAGUGAAAGACGGUCUUGCUGUCACUUAUAGAUGGAUCCGCGCUGCAUUAGCUAGUUGGUAAGGUAACGGCUUACCAAGGCAACGAUGCAUAGCCGACCUGAGAGGGUGAUCGGCCACACUGGAACUGAGACACGGUCCAGACGCCUACGGGAGGCAGCAGUAGGGAAUCUUCCGCAAAGGGCGAAAGCCUGACGGAGCAACGCCGCGUGAGUGAUGAAGGUCUUCGGAUCGUAAAACUCUGUUAUGAGGGAAGAACAUAUGUGUAAGUAACUGUGCACAUCUUGACGGUACCUAAUCAGAAAGCCACGGCUAACUACGUG